AUUAUUUUUAAACAUUUUUACUAGUUUAUAAUAGGUGUACUUGUACUUUCAUUGUGACAAUUCCCAUAUACAUACAAUAUAUCACUAAAUGGAUUUUUGGAACAGGGAGAUGGAAUAGGGGCCUGCUCCGUCCACUGCACGCAUCGACCUGGUAUUGCAGUACCUCCAGGAACGGUGCACCAAAA
rnacentral:snRNA from 1 species